rnacentral:sRNA from 1 species
UUGGGGGUACGGAGAGAAAGGGUGGGAGGAAAGCCCUAGAAAAGCCAGGGCCCUAGAGUGGUGAUCCGAGAGAGGGAGAGAGAGCUGGUCAUCUACUUCUCUGGCACUGCUACCGUUACAUUGCCUGCCACCUACUCUGUGGUUUCCCAGAAGACUCUUAGCUCCCACCCACCCACCCGCCCCCCAAAAAAGGUUCUGAGCAAACGCCUGAGGACUGAAAGAGCGGUGGCACAGCUGCCAGCACACCUUCAAGGAUUUAGGAUCACACACACACACACACACACACACACACACACACACACACACACACACCACGCCGGAGCAUUUGUGCAAGCAGUUACAAAAGGAAAACCAUCUCCAGCUCAUCAAUGUUGAGCACUUAUUUUUUAGGAAAAUUCACAUGUAAGCAGAGUGGACUAUUUUGUGUAUCCGAAGAUUUUUUUUCUAUAUUAAAAUGUUUAUAUAAAGAUAGAGAAAUUUCAGGAGUUUUCAAGUUGCGGGAAGAAAGUCACUUAAGAAUAAUGGAUGCUUCUGAUAGAAUUCCUUAUUUCCUAGUAGAAUGGAAAUCCAGUGAAUUAAAACAACUUCCCUUUCACCUCCCAAAGACUGGUCAGGAAUAACUACUAUAUCUAGAAAUUUCUAAAGAGAUCAGCUGUCCUUGAAGAUUAGAAAGUGGAAUGCAAAAACACACUGGUGUUUCUUACCCAAAACUCUAAUUAAUUCACCUGCCUUGCACAGUAAUCAACUCUCACCUCUCCUUCAGUAUCCAAAGAGAGUGUAAAGCAUGUUAUUUAACACAAUAAUUAUGGGGUUGCUUUCCUAUUUGGAAAGUCCUGCUAUGUUUUGGGAGAGUCUUUUUUUUUUUUUUUUUUUUUUUUGGUUUCUCGGUGAGAAUGUGUUUGUAAAUAAUGAGAAUAGAAACUCAGCCUCCUGGGGGACUUGUAAAGACAGAAAGGAGAAGGGAUAGUGCUUUGGGGCUGCAUAAGGGGACUCAAGCUCCCGUUUUUCUCCUCCUGUCUUCUCUAACUUGUUGCACAGAGACGUUUCUUUGAGGAUGUUUGAGCAACAUAGCAUCUGAGCAUAGGUUCUGUGUGUUUGCUGCUUAUAUCUCUAGGAAUCUGGAGUAGUGAGGCAUUGAACCUGUCUACACAUGUUCAGAGAUUUCCUAAGAUGUGAGAAGGAGCUAGCAUUCGACAGACAUAAGAAAUAAACUAUUAUAACAGGCUCUUAGCUUUGAGAAAUUUUAGGAUUUUUUUUUUUUUGCCAUUUAGGUAUUGAAAUGAUCACUUUUCUUUUUAUCUUUUAAAAAUCUAUUGAACUCUUUGAAGUUUAGUGUCAAAGGGUACAGGAAUCUUCUAAAGUGAAAUAUGACACUAUUGUCUUUUUACUCUUGUAUGCUAAACUUUGGGGGCAUAAAUAAUACUUGUAUUGGAAGACUUUAUUACAAUGUAAGAAUUUUUAAAAAAACAUUGCAUAAAAGUAUAUAAACUUCUACAAAGACAGAUGAAGCUUUCACAUCUGUUUGUCCUAGAUAACAAGUGUGUGAUAGCAUAAUGAGGUGAGGUUUAUUAAUUUUUGAAUCAGCAAAUCUAUUCUUAACUAAAAGCAUGGGUUCAGCAUGUAUCCACAAAUAUCAAAAUAUAUCUUUGAAAUAUUGCAAAUUUUUAAAAUGUCAAAUUAUUGCAUUUGUGAAAUACAACACUCUAGAAGGUGUUAAACUCUGAAAGAAGGGGGGAAAACUAAUUUCUUUGUGAAUGCCAUUCCUGACUUCAAUAGAGUCUAAGGUGCUUUUUAAAUGGUAAAUUGUGGAGUAUUUCAAGUCCAGAUACCACAAACAGAAAAGUCGACUAAAGUGGCCAAAGCCUGACCUUACCAUUCCCGUUCUUACAUUUCCUUAAACUAUCACUCUUCCAAAAUCUGCCACACUCUGAGGGGACAAACAGGAAGGGAAGCAGUGCUGCGUAGCAAGCCAUAAUCCCACCCUGCUUCCAGCCUUGGAAGCAACGUUUGGGAGCCCAUUUCUCUACCUAUAUGUGACUCCUCCCCUCCCCCACCUCAGGUUUCUAAACCUUUUCAAGGAACCACCUUUUGCUCCUUCCAGCAAACAAUAGGGUUAGAACAGUCAAAUGUUGCAAAAAUAAAAUACACCGGAAAGAGAACCCCUGAAAAAGCAUAUUGGCUUUAUCUUUUCCUUUCCGAUUUUUGGAGAAACUCUUUCCUUCCAUGAAGAGGUCAAACCGUGUUUAACACAGCACACAGAUCAACUUAAGGAAGAUUUCAAAUUCUCCACUGAAUCUUUAGCAUUGAGAGCUUUUGCCCUGUUUGUUGUUUUACGUCUCUGGUUAUUUAAGAUACUCUCCCUCCAUCUCAUCUUUCCUAACCUUCAUUCAAUUUGUAUAAGCAAAACUCAAAGUACUGUAACUGAUAUUAGAAAAUUCUCCCCAUGUUUUGUGAAGACGCAUUGUGCUGAAAUCAAUAAGACUGUUUAAAAUUCAAAGACCUGCAAAUCGUUCUGUUUGUCCUUUGAUAGGGCCUAUGCUGAUUAAAAUGCUACCAAGAAAGCUUAAUUGCUGCCCUAAUUAAGAAGUCUUUAAUUUCUUUCCUAGGAUAUCGUUUGAAGCUUAGCUUGUACAGUUCAGGGAAGGUAUUUUCUUCCCUCCUUCUGCCCUCUUCUGGCCCCUCCCCUCCCCUCCCCCUCCUUUCCCCAUUUGAGGAGCCGGUUAGAAUAGGAACUAAUAAAAAGAAUGGUCUCAUCAUCUCUUACGCCACAAAAAUCGGCACAGGAUACAGACUUCAUCGUAGUGUGAAAUGCAGUUUUGAGACGAGCUGUAAGCUUUGCAGGAGACAGUGAGAAAUAUAAAGUAGCUGUUGCAGCCAAAGCCCUUCUGAUUACCUGAAUGACAACAGGCACUCUAGUGGGUGAGGAGAGCAUCCUAUUUGGUUAAAAGGCUCAGUGGCAAAUAGGGACAUAUAAAAACAUGCUGCCACAGCCUGUGGUUUCCAAAAGGAAGAAUAAGUGUGUAAAAAGAUGGACUUGUAGUUGGGAUUUGGUAAGUAUCAUUUUAUUUGAGUAUAAAAAGAUGGAUUCUGUGGGGAUUUAUUUUUGACCCUUUUGAUAACUCAGGGAGGCACAGAACUGUAUCACAUCUCUCCCGUUCUUAUCUAUUGGCAGGUUGCAUUCACUGAUUUCUCAAGUGGGGAAACUGACUAAAUGAUUUCACAAAGCUUUCUCUGUAAUCGAUAGUCAUUUUUUAGGUUUAUUCAUGGUGCAUUAUAAUUCUGGUAAAUGACUGCAAAGAAGAAGAUCGUAAGAAAGAUACAAUUAUUGACAGGUCUAGCAUAAGUCAGGUCUUCAUUCCUCAGAGUUUCAAUAUAGCAACUGGUGUGGUGUUUUUCUUUUAAAAAAAAUGAAACUUAAUUAUUUCUAGCAACAUAAGAAAGCAUAGAGGAACUGUGCAAUGUGUGUACGAACCUAUUCUUCUAAUAGCUCACAAUGUUCUGAAAGCUUUGAGCAUGUUGUUUUUAUGAUAUUUCUAAAUGAAACAGCAAUUUAGGCAUAUAUGAAAAGAGAUACACUAAGGCUUCAUUAUAAUUUUAUUCUUUCAUUUUUCGCAAACUCCAUUAGGAGCAUAUAUGUUAGAAAUCACAACUGUAUGCUAUAGAUCUAUACUAAAUUCUUUAUACUGACAGGACAAGGAGAAAACACGCUUAAUAGAUUCAAAGGCAGAUUUACCAUUCUAAGCACGACGUCACUCUAAUUAUGUUUAUCCUAAUUGAAAGCAAGGGUUUUUUUGGAAUCUGAAAUUACUUUCAGAUUUUUUUUAAAUAAUGCAAGUGGAUCAAAUGUUGAUCACAAGCAUUUCAAUCUUUCAAAAUGUAUUGGAAAAUUAAAUGAAAAGUGGAGUUUGGUACAAACAAUGCCCCAGGGCAAAAAACAACUAACACUAGAUUUUCCAGUCCAGCCAUAACACAAAUCAAUUUGAGCACACUUCUAUGGCCAGACUGCCAGAUUGUUAUGACUGCUAAUUCACUCAAUCAAAGACUGCAUUAGCACACCCGGCACAAACAGCCUUAACAAUGGAAUACGUUUCUCAACAGUCCUACAAUACACCACAAUGGCUAAGUACAGAAGACCAUUUUUACAUCUGUGUGUUUACUAAUGGACCUGUUUCCUUAAUAGAAAUUAAAAAAAAAAAAAAACCAACACACAGACUAAGAUAAACUUCAGUCACAGGUUUAUUAAAGAGCUAUCAGUUUGACAAAUCUAGAAAGAUAUCAGGGUACCAGGAGUUCACUGACUUUGUUAAAGAUUUCUCAGGAGAGAGUCCAAAAUUGAUGUUUGCAUUUCAGCAGUAAACCAUGGAAGAUGGAGAAAUAAUGCCAAGUAACUCUCUCAAGCCUUUGUGACUCACGGGGCCUCGCCAAACAGUCCAGCAGAUAAACCUUAGCUACCUUAAGUACAGACUUCAAACUUUAAAAUUCCACACUUUUCCAUCCCCAUUUUUACCCCUCUGCCUGAAUUUUGGUGGCUUUUGUGUGCCUAGGCUCUCUUUCUAUUCUAAUUCUCUGCCUCUCCUUAAGGAACAGGAAUGGGACUUUUCUCUGGCUGUGGUAUUCUCUAGUGAAAAGCAGAGAGUUUGCAGAUGAAUUACUCAAAGCACAGAAGGUGGGAAGCUGAAUCAGGACCUGCCUAACUUCAAGCACUGUGACUUUAUGGUACCAGUUUUGAUACUUAAUGAUGAGGUGGUUAAAAUUGUUUUAAAUAGCAUCCCGUGUUUUUUUUUUUCCUACAGCAGAGAGAUGCAGGGACAUAAGCUUCUGUGUGAACAUAAUAAUCAUCUAUUUGCAAUUCCAAAAUGGUUCAGUGGGAGAACACCAUUCCUCCCUCACUCCUCUUAAACCCUUUCUGCUUAUUCAGAAUAAAGGUCACAAGUGUCAGAAAAUACUUCUCUGGGUUUGUGGCACAUAAUAAGAAAUAUCCAAACUCAGGUAAGGGAAGAAUAGCGUAGUGGUGAAAAUAGAUAACGAAGAAAAAAAAUUCACUGUGGAAUUGUUUUUCAGAUUCUAAAACUGCAUCCUUCCCAGAGUGGGUAGUCAACUCCUCAUGAUGAAUUAGUUAUAUGUUCCUAUAUGUACCUACUUCCAGCUUUUAUUUUCCUUUCCUGUUCCUUACGAAGUCAAAGAAGGGGUCGUCACCCAACAAAUAGCCCAUAAGAUUGUUUUACUCGAUGACAAAACUUUGAAGGACUGCUAGAAAAGAAUAAAUGUUUAUUUAUUUAUUACUUGUUGGACGGAGACUUUUUUUUUAACUUGAAACGAAAACAAUUGCUACCUUCUAGAAGCCUGUUAUUGUAUGUCAAGUUUCAGCCCAGAGCAAAUUUUUACAACAAGUUAUAAACCCCUGUAACAGAGGGUUUAUUAUAAUGGAAAUGCUGACACAACCUUAACUAUAGCGUUGUAAACGGCUAUGCUAUAAUAUCCAUUAAGCAGAAAGAAAAAUAAGCUGGCUGAUCAAUAAUUUAUACAAAGAGUACCAACUGCAGACAUAAUAACUGUAAUGUUUGCAAAGCAAUCUCUCUGCUCUCCAGGCUUAACAGUGAACACAAACUAGCAACGCUGUUAAUUUCCAACUCCUACGGAUAAGAAUACAAACAAAUUACUUAAAAUUAUAUUUUGCUCAACAUUUAGCAUGCCUCAAUGGGAUAAAAUAAAAUUUAAUUAUGAUGCAACUUGUGCAGGAUGCAAAGCUGCUUUGUUUUCCUGAACAUUUUAUUAAGAAGGGACGCCCCUUUGGAACAUCAAUUAUGGGGAAAUGGUAUGUUUCAAUGAGUUUACUUGGGUCAGGGAGGUUCAUGUAAGAGGUAUUCAGACAGGGAAACGGAUCGACACAGCUCAACUUCAAAGAAAGUUAGAGUUUAGAGAGUCGCAAGAUGAAAUACAACACUGCAUGCCUUGAUCCAAGUGAUCUGUCAGUAAAAACACACCUUGCCAUUAGAGUUCAUGGGAAAAAAAAGUCAUUGGUUUGGAAAUGUGUCCAUUAUUAGCAUGCAGAGAAUGUGGGAGUGCUUACCUUUCAAUGGCAUACCUUGUUUUUGUAGGAACACUGUGUGACAUUUCUAGCUAAUAGACCUGAACCACAAAAUUGUGAGCAUUGUUUUCAUUUCUAUAAAAUUUCUUGUCAGUAUUUCCCCAGAUAUCGUUGUCUAUUUAGCCCUCGCUCCUUAAGUUAUCUAAAUACAAACAUGCUGCUGUGAUAACUCCAUUUUAAUGGCGGCUCUU